rnacentral:rRNA from 1 species
UACGGAGGAAGCAAGCGUUAUCCGGAAUCACUGGGCGUAAAGGGUGCGUAGGCGGGUCUUUAAGUCAGGGGUGAAAUCCUGGAGCUCAACUCCAGAACUGCCUUUGAUACUGAGGAUCUUGAGUUCGGGAGAGGUGAGUGGAACUGCGAGUGUAGAGGUGAAAUUCGUAGAUAUUCGCAAGAACACCAGUGGCGAAGGCGGCUCACUGGCCCGAUACUGACGCUGAGGCACGAAAGCGUGGGGAGCAAACAGG